rnacentral:rRNA from 1 species
CCUACGGGAGGCAGCAGUGAGGAAUAUUGGUCAAUGGGCGCGAGCCUGAACCAGCCAAGUCGCGUGAGGGAGGACUGCCCUACGGGUUGUAAACCUCUUUUGCCGGGGAGCAACGGGCGCCACGUGUGGCGCCACUGAGAGUACCCGGAGAAAAAGCAUCGGCUAACUCCGUGCCAGCAGCCGCGGUAAUACGGAGGAUGCGAGCGUUAUCCGGAUUUAUUGGGUUUAAAGGGUGCGUAGGCGGAAUGUUAAGUCAGCGGUAAAAUCGAGGGGCUCAACCACUUCCCGCCAUUGAAACUGGCGCUCUUGAGUGGAAGAGAAGUAUGCGGAAUGCGUGGUGUAGCGGUGAAAUGCAUAGAUAUCACGCAGAACCCCGAUUGCGAAGGCAGCAUGCCGGCUUCCGACUGACGCUGAAGCACGAAAGCGUGGGGAUCGAACAGGAUUAGAUACCCCUGUAGUC